ACGUAGGAGGCGAGCGUUAUCCGGAUUUACUGGGUGUAAAGCGCGUGCAGGCGGUUUGAUAAGUUGGAUGUGAAAGCUCCUGGCUCAACUGGGAGAGGUCGUUCAAAACUAUCAGACUUGAGAGUGGUAGAGGAAAGUGGAAUUCCCGGUGUAGUGGUGAAAUGCGUAGAUAUCGGGAGGAACACCAGUGGCGAAGGCGGCUUUCUGGACCAUUUCUGACGCUCAGACGCGAAAGCUAGGGUAGCAAACGGGAUUAGAGACCCCGGUAGUCCUAGCAGUAAACGAUGUGAACUUGGCGUUGGUGGUGUAAAAACCAUCGGUGCCGAAGCUAACGCGAUAAGUUCACCACCUGGGAACUACGGCCGCAAGGUUA
rnacentral:rRNA from 1 species